rnacentral:lncRNA from 10 species
GGUCACUGGCCACCUGCGGUUGUCUUCUUUCUCUUCUCAUUACCACCUUCCAUUUUCCCUCAAGUGGGAGAAAAAGUGAGUACAGAACGCAGACCACCUGCUGAGGUGGGUGCUGCAGAGAGCCACUGAUUAAAGGUGGAGAUGGAACUCCUUUUCUCAAUUUCAUCUUCUUGAACCUAAUACCAGCUGUGUUUCAAGCUGAGCUACUACACGCCUGCUGGGAGGCCAUUUGCUGCAUGACACUAUGAAAAUGAUGGCGUUUGCUCCUUCAAGUAAGAGAUAAUCAGCUUAUUCAGAGCCUAAAGGAAGAGAAAGUUUUUUCAAUUAGGGCAGCACUGAGUACAUUGCCUCACUGAUGCUGCAAUAAAUAUCCCUUUCCCCAGCACGAAGAAACACUGUCUGCACCAGGCUGCUGCUGCCAGGGGAUAGAGCAGGGGCAUUGUUGGUGAUUCGAGAAGGUUUUUCCCACCUCUUCAGUGACUCUUUCAGCGAUAUGAAGUUAAAACCAGGUACUAAGAGUGUUCACCUGAUUUUUGGUUCUUAUGAAGGUGCUUCUUGUGUGUAGAUAGGUGUCCUUGUGGCAGGGGGUUGGGGGGUUGAUUGGUGGAGCCUUCUACCCCACCAUCUUGCUCAUCAAUACACCAUUAAUCAAAAAGAACUGGGUGAAUAUCCUGACUUUGUUAUCUGUAUGAAUGUAUGUCUUCUAAUCUCAAGAUAUUAAAAUACAUACCUUGCAGAACCAUGGGGGAUGAAGGAUCAUUUAUAAAUCAGUAAGCAUGAGACAAAAUAUGCUCUUAACAAAUAGCUUCUAUUAUAAGUAAUAUAUAAAGUACAUAUUUCCAAAGGGUUGUUAAGUAUGGUCACACACUGAAUCCCCCGCCUCCUCUAAAGCAUUUAUCCAAUAGUAAGUAUCCAUUAAGUAAGGGGAAUUUUGAAAUAUGAAUUAAGAAAGUAAAUAUUACAUGGAAUGAGCUCUGCUUAUGGCCAAAUAUAGUGUUAGACAAUAUCCAUAUGUCACCUCAUCAAACUCUAGUGCCUUGAUUAUGCAUUAAAUAAGGCUUCCCUAAACAAAAUACUUUCAAAUAUUCCUUUAUUUGGUUGCCCUGAGUUUUUACAUUCUUGUCCGGUAUAUUGUGGUAAGAUUCUGGAUGUAUUAGGGACAUAUGCUUAAAUUUUUUUCUUUUUGAAAUAAGAGUAAGUCUACUGUGAAAAGGGA